rnacentral:rRNA from 1 species
ACGAUGAGCCUUUCGGGGUGGAUUAGUGGCGAACGGGUGAGUAACACGUGGGCAAUCUGCCCUUCACUCUGGGACAAGCCCUGGAAACGGGGUCUAAUACCGGAUAACACUCUGUCCCGCAUGGGACGGGGUUAAAAGCUCCGGCGGUGAAGGAUGAGCCCGCGGCCUAUCAGCUUGUUGGUGGGGUGAUGGCCUACCAAGGCGACGACGGGUAGCCGGCCUGAGAGGGCGACCGGCCACACUGGGACUGAGACACGGCCCAGACUCCUACGGGAGGCAGCAGUGGGGAAUAUUGCACAAUGGGCGAAAGCCUGAUGCAGCGACGCCGCGUGAGGGAUGACGGCCUUCGGGUUGUAAACCUCUUUCAGCAGGGAAGAAGCGAAAGUGACGGUACCUGCAGAAGAAGCGCCGGCUAACUACGUG